UACGUAGGUGGCAAGCGUUGUCCGGAUUUACUGGGCGUAAAGGGCGCGUAGGCGGCCACCGCAAGUCGACUGUGAAAUCUCCGGGCUUAACCCGGAACGGUCAGCCGAUACUGCGGGGCUAGAGUGCAGAAGGGGCAACUGGAAUUCUCGGUGUAGCGGUGAAAUGCGUAGAUAUCGAGAGGAACACCUGCGGCGAAGGCGGGUUGCUGGGCUGACACUGACGCUGAGGCGCGAAAGCUAGGGGAGCGAACGGG
rnacentral:rRNA from 1 species